rnacentral:misc_RNA from 1 species
GCGGGCGAUUUACGGCACUUCAGGAUUUCCUUCCGGAACUGCUGCGCCUCUUGACGGUUGUACGCGAUCAUGGUGCCAGGUCUCCAGUUCCUUUUCCGCAAUCAGAGCGUCUUCCAAUGAGAAAUUCACGGCGCCUCCACCCUUGCCCGUCAGCCGCCGUUCCUCGAUAGUCUCCGGCUCGCCUCGGGCCGUGCGUUCGAGUUUGGUG